rnacentral:lncRNA from 1 species
GACGUUCUUUGGAAGAGUGUGCACGCGAGCUGGUUGCGUUCUCUGAACCGCAGAACUUUGACUACGCAGGUCUAGGGACUUCCUGGGGUGGAUAAUAGGUCUGGGUAGAGGCUGGGAAUUUGCUUUGUGCUUCUGUGUUGGUUGUGGGAAGCAGCCAGAGUAAAUGGGUAGUAGCAGAAACGGUUGAAUGCAGUGACUUUAAUAUUGUACUGUGUUAAAAACUACCAACGUUUAAGGUUGCUGUCACAUCUUACUUCAUCGUCACAGUCUUGUUAAUAAGCCUGAUGUGCAGAUGAGGAAAUUGAUGUAAGCAUGAAAAGGUUACCCACUAGCAAGAGAUGAGAUGAAAAACCUGACUUUGUCUAAUGCACACGUGUGCUUUUACAUGAAGAACCCAGCUUCAGAGGUGAGGUUUCCAUCCUCACCCCUGAAUUUUCUGAGAGUAUUAUCAGAGCCCCUUGGAAACAAUCUUUUCUCUCAUUCUUCUUUUGACAAAAGCAGAAACACAUCCAGAGAGGUGAAGUGACUUUCCUAAAAUCACCCCAAGAGUCAAUGUUAGAGAAGACUGUGUAACUAAAUCUAUUAUCUCAAACCUGACCUCGGGCAAAGGAGGAUGAAAAACUUUAAGGUGAAGGAACCGUUCAGUCUCAAUUGUGUGGUAUUUGCAUGUUGUAUACAAUUUCCAAAAAAAUAAAUAAAACUGUACACUUAAAAGGGGUGGACUUUACUAUGUUUUAAUAACAACCUAAAUAUAGGAGCUGGGACUGUAGCUCAGUGUUAGAGCACAUCCAAGAGGCCCUGGGUUCAAUCCCCAGUACUGCAAAAUGCCUAAAGAAACAAAGAUGGAAAAGCAAACUGGGUGUGGUUGUGCACACCUGUAAUCCUAGCCCCUUGGGAGACUGAGACAGGAGGAUUGCAAGUUCAAAGCCAGCCUCAGCAACUUAGACUGUAUUUCAAAAAAUGAAAAAGGACUGGGGCUGUGGCUAAGCAGUUAAGUGCCCCUGGGUUCAAUCCCUGGUACCAAAACAAACAAACAAACAAAAAAAAACCCAGAACCCAGAUACACAGCAGUGUGCGGGCCUGUUUGAGACCACAGGAUAACCAGAGUAAAACAUUUUUUUUCCUCUAAGUCUUGAGUUUUGCUGAACAACCUGCCACACUGUAGAUGUUAUAAUACAACUACCAGACUGCUAUUGUUGUCCAUUCUUGGCCACUGACUACUUCUAAUUGGAGUUCAAGAGGCUGGAGUGGGGAAGAAAGGAGAGGAAAAAAAUAUCAAGACAAUGUACAAACCGGCAGUGGUGCCAAGCAGCUGGCCCAGCCAAGGAACCCAUAAAUAGACAUCUGUCUUCUGUCUAGGUUCAAGAUAAAAGCUAGAGUAAGUCAACAAAAGACUGUUUGCAAAAGGUCAUCAUGUUUUAAGGUGCUGAUUAUAAUAUAACCUGGUUGUAAGAAUAAAGACCCAUACUUUUUCUCCUUUCACCAUAUUAUUAUUGUUCCAGCUUCGCUCCCCAGAGGCACCCAGUUUCUUGGUGUUCUUCCAGAGAUCUUCCAUGAAAAAUUCUUAUAUUCUUGAAAACUUGAGGUGUUGCUUAUUGUCUCCUAGUUUUCACAUCCUUGUGGUCCAGUGUAGAGGUCUAACCUAUUAGAUUGAGUAAAAAAAUGCAUCCUGGACCCACCCAACCUAUUAUUGGCUGAGUAAUGGAAAACAGCCCUCUUUCUCCCCAAAAUAUUUAUAUUAGCUUUUGACAAGAUAAAAGGGAUCAUUUGUGAAAAAUGAACCUGGUAACCAAGAAUUCAAACUUUUUUCAUGUCCCUAGUGGAAGUUCUCUUAGUAUAGUUCACACAAAGAUGUAUAUGCCAACAAAUGAAAGGCCUAGGAACGUUGUAAUGAAGACAAGAUUGUUCCUCCCCUUUCUUCUUCCCUCCCUCAUCCCUGCCUUUUCUCUCUCCUUUUACAUCUACUCACAAGCAUUCAGUAUUUUCAGGGUUAAAAGUAGUGCAGGAGAUAAUCUUCCAUAUUUACAAAGAGAUAUUAAAGGAUUAGUAAGUUACUCUUACUGGGGUAUUUGCAAUUCCCAGAAGACUCCCUCAGAUAAUGAUCUCAAGAGUUGGGAGAAGGAUGACUACCCAUUAGGACAGGAAUAUCAAAAUAUUCAGAAAUUUGUUAAUAAUUUAAAAGAAAACAUUCUAUGGAAAAUUUCUUCAAGUACAGCAAAUACAAAACUAGACAAACUGGUAUGAUGAAUUCCAUUUACCCAUUAUUCAAAAAUUAUCACUCAAGGUUAUCUUGUUCUACAUAUUUGUAUAUUCACUGCCCCUGCCUAUAUGCUGUAUUAGUUUUUUAAGGCAAUCCCAGAAAUCAUAUUAUUUCAUCUAUAAAUAUUUUAGUAUCCACUUCUAAAAGACCAAUUUUUCUUUCUUCAAACAUAGCCAUAUGGCAUUAUUUUACCUAAAAGAUAUUAGUUGUGUAAUAUCUUCAUAUAUUCAAUUAGUUUUCUAUUUUCUGAUUGUCUCAUAAAUGUUUUUGUUUUAAACUUUGUUGGUUUAAUUUUAAUGUAUUCUGCUUUUCUCUAUUCUGUGAAUUGGUUGUUAGACCUAGAAUGUUGUGUAUGUGUGUGUGUGUGUGUAUCUAUAUAUCUAUAUCUAUCUAUAUCUAUAUCUAUAUAUAUAUAUAUAUAUAUAUGUGUGUAUAUAUAUAUAUAUAUAUAUAUAUAUAUAUAUAUAUAUAAAUUACAUGGACACAAUACCUUUAUUUUAUUUUUUUAAUGUGAUGCUGAGGUUUGAACCUAGUGCCUUCCACAUGCGAGGUCAACACUCUACCACUGAGCUACAACCCCAGCACUGGACCUAGACUUUUGAUCAAAUUUUUUAAGAGUUGAUAUGUUAUACUUCUAUCAUAAGGCAUAUGAUGUCUAAUUACGUUCCUUUUGUGAUGUUACCAAACAUGAUACACAACGUCUAAAUUCAUUAAUGCAUUCUAAUUCUACCUUAGGGGUAAUAUUUUAAUUCUAUCUUUUUUUUUUUUUUUAGAGUGGGAAGUUGAAGCUUUAUUAAAGGACACACAGCAGAAAAACUUUUCCUCAGAGGAAGACCCAAGAGGUGGAAACUAUGGAAGGGGGAGUUCUUCCCUCUUUUAUAGCUAAGGUUUACUUUCAGGUUUCCUGCAUUCCUGUCGCAUGUAUUCCUUUAAUUCUAUCUUUUCUUCUUUACUUACUGCCAGACUUUUCCCUUACAUAAAUUUUGAUCUCCCAGUAGUACAGCUUAUAUAGGAAGAAUACAUGCUUAAUUAUUUCCCUUUAUUUGCUAAUUUUCAACAUAAAGAAUUGGUCACUAAAUAUUCUAAAUGACAAUUGAGUUUGUGAUUUUGUUUCUAGUAUCAUAAUGAACUCAUGGAGUUACAUUGGUGAUUAAAUC